UAUAUACAGGCCAGGUGUAGUGUUAUAUUGUCUACUAUAUACAGGCCAGGUGUAGUGUUGUAUUGUCUACUAUAUACAGGUCAGGUGUAGUGUUAUAUUGUCUACUAUAUACAGGCCAGGUGUAGUGUUGUAUUGUCUACUAUAUACAGGUCAGGUGUAGUGUUGUAUUGUCUACUAUAUACAGGUCAGGUGUAGUGUUGUAUUGUCUACUAUAUACAGGUCAGGUGUAGUGUUGUAUUGUCUACUAUAUACAGGUCAGGUGUAGUGUUGUAUUGUCUACUAUAUACAGGCCAGGUGUAGUGUUAUAUUGUCUACUAUAUACAGGUCAGGUGUAGUGUUAUAUUGUCUACUAUAUACAGGCCAGGUGUAGUGUUAUAUUGUCUACUAUAUACAGGCCAGGUGUAGUGUUAUAUUGUCUACUAUAUACAGGUCAGGUGUAGUGUUAUAUUGUCUACUAUAUACAGGCCAGGUGUAGUGUUAUAUAGUCUACUAUAUACAGGCCAGGUGUAGUGUUAUAUUGUCUACUAUAUACAGGCCAGGUGUAGUGUUAUAUUGUCUACUAUAUACAGGCCAGGUGUAGUGUUAUAUUGUCUACUAUAUACAGGUCAGGUGUAGUGUUAUAUUGUCUACUAUAUACAGGUCAGGUGUAGUGUUAUAUUGUCUACUAUAUACAGGCCAGGUGUAGUGUUGUAUUGUCUACUAUAUACAGGUCAGGUGUAGUGUUAUAUUGUCUACUAUAUACAGGCCAGGUGUAGUGUUGUAUUGUCUACUAUAUACAGGCCAGGUGUAGUGUUGUAUUGUCUACUAUAUACAGGCCAGGUGUAGUGUUAUAUUGUCUACUAUAUACAGGCCAGGUGUAGUGUUGUAUUGUCUACUAUAUACAGGCCAGGUGUAGUGUUAUAUUGUCUACUAUAUACAGGUCAGGUGUAGUGUUAUAUUGUCUACUAUAUACAGGUCAGGUGUAGUGUUGUAUUGUCUACUAUAUACAGGCCAGGUGUAGUGUUGUAUUGUCUACUAUAUACAGGCCAGGUGUAGUGUUAUAUUGUCUACUAUAUACAGGCCAGGUGUAGUGUUAUAUUGUCUACUAUAUACAGGCCAGGUGUAGUGUUAUAUUGUCUACUAUAUACAGGUCAGGUGUAGUGUUGUAUUGUCUACUAUAUACAGGCCAGGUGUAGUGUUAUAUUGUCUACUAUAUACAGGCCAGGUGUAGUGUUGUAUUGUCUACUAUAUACAGGUCAGGUGUAGUGUUGUAUUGUCUACUAUAUACAGGUCAGGUGUAGUGUUGUAUUGUCUACUAUAUACAGGCCAGGUGUAGUGUUG